rnacentral:misc_RNA from 1 species
UUAAGGUCAGCGGGUAGUCCUACCUGAUUUGAGGUCAAGCAUUCAAGAAAUUGUCCUUAGACGAUUAGAAGCUGAACAUCAGAAAGCAAUCCCCUCGCCAGUGUAGAUAAGUUAUCACACUUGUGGCAGAUCGCAGACGAUUCCGCUAAUGCAUUUCAGAGGAGCUGACCCCAAGUAAGGAGCCAGCAAACCUCCACAAU